GGAUUUCUCGAUGGGAUG
rnacentral:snRNA from 1 species